UACGUAGGGGGGCAAGCGUUGUCCGGAAUCAUUGGGCGUAAAGAGCGUGUAGGCGGCCCGGUAAGUCCGCUGUGAAAGUCGGGGGGCUCAACCCUCGGAUGCCGGUGGAUACUGUCGGGCUUGAGUACGGAAGAGGCGAGUGGAAUUCCUGGUGUAGCGGUGAAAAUGCGCAGAUAUCAGGAGGAACACCAAUUGCGAAGGCAGCUCGCUGGGACGUUACUGACGCUGGAGACGCGAAAGCGUGGGGAGCAAACAGG
rnacentral:rRNA from 1 species